UGAUAUUCAUUCAAUAAUCACAUGUUAAAUGUUUGUUUUUCCCAAUUAUUUUUCCUUUUUGCUUUUUUACAUGAAAUUGGUGAUCACCAUAAAACCUUAAAAAGAGAAUAAAAUCAAUCUUUUCAUCUGCAUAAUGAUUUGCCUUGCUUGAAUUAUGAAAUCUCUUUUAUACUCAAAAUCAUUAUGCAGGUUGAUCAAACCCAUUGAAC
rnacentral:lncRNA from 1 species